UACAGAGACUGCAAGCGUUAUUCGGAUUCACUGGGCGUAAAGGGUGCGCAGGCGGCCAAGUGUGUUAGGCGUGAAAGCCCGAGGCUUAACCUCGGAAUUGCACCUAAACUACAUGGCUAGAGUACUGGAGAGGGUAACGGAAUUCACGGUGUAGCAGUGAAAUGCGUAGAUAUCGUGAGGAACACCAGAGGCGAAGGCGGUUACCUGGACAGUUACUGACGCUCAGGCACGAAAGCGUGGGGAGCAAAAGGG
rnacentral:rRNA from 1 species